rnacentral:lncRNA from 1 species
GAUUGAUGAAAAAAAGUUUUUAUAGAAUCAUAUAUCGACUCAAGCUGAUUGAAUCUAUCAUAUGACCGAUGAUGAGGUUUGAUGAUUCAUCCAUAACCUGCCAUUCGAUCGGGACUCACAAUAGAGGGACUGUAUCAUGCCUUAAAUGCACCUAGAGGUUCAUCAUCUUUUAUUCUACUGGGUUGCCACUAUAUAUUGCUAGGUAUCACUGGUGGAUUGUAAGACUCACAAGCAUCAUCUUGAUGAUCGAUGAUCCUUGGUGGGUAGAGUUGGAACUGUUCCAACCCAUUGAAAAGAGUUUUAAUGAUAUUGUGAUAGGGAUCAUAAUAUAUCUCACUACCAGAUAGAAUAGAACCUAUGGGAUCACAUAUAAAAGAGGCUUUUGACUGAU